CAACCCCAGGUCAGGGGGGGCUACCCCCUGAUUUUAAAGCU
rnacentral:rRNA from 1 species